GAAAAUUCUAAAAUCUCAAAGCUUAAGCUUAAGCAGAAGCAGAAGCAAUUCAUUUGUUAUCUGAAGGUCAAGCAGAGGGGAUAACUCAAAAUACUUAAAGGUAGAAGCUAUCAGCUAAGAACUACACAUGGACAAGGGGGCUAUUCUUGAAGCUGGAGAGGGAAGAAAUACCGUUGAACUUGUGAAAUCAGCCUCUGAAAAACAUCUUGACCUUUUGAGGCCAUCAGCUCGAUAUUAUUCAGUGUCGAAAGGGCAAGCUGGUGAUGCAGAAGACCGUGAGAAGGGAAAGUAUACCUUGAUUAGAGAUGUAGAGGACCUUCAAACAGGGUUCUAUGAUAAACCUCUUCCUUGCUUUGGUUGCGGAAUCGGAUGGUUUUCAUUUCUUCUGGGAUUUCUAUGCCCGUUGAUGUGGUAUUAUGCCACGAUACUUUAUUUCGGAAACUACUACCGUAAGGAUCCUAGAGAACGUGCUGGGCUUGCUGCAUCUGCUAUUGCUGCAAUGGUGUUUUCUGUUGUCUUGCUUAUUAUAGCAGCAACUCUCUUCUUGUAGCUUCUGCGAUGCAAAGUUUCAUACUAAUAUGAUCAAUGUUACUUGUUCUGUAGUCAAGUCAAAUGCCUCCAAACUCUCCAAUUGUAAAUGUUGUGACGAAUGAAAAAAAAAAGAUUCUUAUACAGAACUAUA
rnacentral:misc_RNA from 1 species